UACAAAACUUUGCUGAUUCCUUAUCUAAAAUUCCUAAGCAUUUGGGAAAGGCAGGUUUUAAGAAUUUACAGAUCAUGGUCCUGUGAUUUAUUUUGACACUGCAUGAUAAAACAUUCAUUGUUCUGAUACCAACAAGGCACUUUUCUCUUACAUACACCUUUGUGGGCUCUGCAUUUGUUAGUUUCUUUAGAAUUUUAUCUCAUGUUUGAUAGGAAAAGGAAAGAAAUGAUAAAAAUAUUACAUUUGUCUCCCAAAAAAACUAGCACAAGCAUUCAAGGGAGUCACAAAGUAGAGAUAUUGUAAAUUUCCCUGGAGGUGUAGAUUCAGACAUAUCAUUACAUACCAGAGAAGGAGUUUGUGAGGAAGAGGGAGGGUGAUUUUGGCCAUUUUCCCCCAUACAAAAUUGUUCUUGCAAUGUCUUCUCUAAGUGUUGUCUUAAGGAGUUAAAAUGGAACAGGUACAGAUCAAAGAAGCACUUCUUACUAAGAUGUUUGUUGGCAAUUACUUGAAUAUGGAUUGAAAGAGAGUAAGAACUGAGUUGUGUUAACAAUUUGAAAUACUGUGUUCAUUUUGGAAAGAAAAUGGCAUAACCAUGCUAUGGUUUGUAUAAGUAUACAGUUUCUGUGAAUGCCGCAUCUUGAUUUAAUAUACAAUGAAAAUUUAAUUCCUUCUCUGUAGUCCACCCAAAUUCUUUAAUCCAUGAAAAUAUUAUAAAUGUAUAGUGAAUUCUCCAUACUGGGGUACCUUGUUCUCUGUUUUUUGUCUUAAAGAAGAGCUAAUAUUGUGUCUAAGUAUUCUACUGGUACUUUUCCAACUCUCAUCAAUAUCAGUGCUCUUAACUUACGUAGAGCUCAGGCCCACACUGAUUGCAUUUGGAAGAUUAUUUUCAAAGUUAAAAAUGCUCAAAUGCUCCAUCCCAAUUCUGUACAUUAUAGAAAAUCAAUAAAUCCAUCCUAGAUGUCAUCCUGAUGUGUACCUCUUCAUCCUGCCCUCCGAAAGCUAAAAUGGGCUAAUACAACUCUUCUCCCAUGUAUUCAUCCCAAGGAAAGGUAAUUUGUGCAGAUCAAGGAUGAGUACAAUAAUUUUUUUAAAAAAAUGAACGCCUUUAUCUCCUACGAAACCUUUUGCAUUCCACCGUAUCUUAACUGCAACGUAGGUUCUGUACUUUGUGCUCAGAGCUUUUUGAUAAGUGUUCACAGACUAUGUAAACUUUUGAAUAAUAACUUUUACUGAGCCAAAGGGUUUCCUUAAAACAUCUCUUAGUAUCAUUUUGUGCAGUGUUAUUCUGUUCUGAAAGAUAAUGUGUUAUCAAUACUUCAUAAGAUAGUUUCAACCAGGGAAAGGAUAAAAUUUGCAGUUGCCUUCGCAGUACUCCUUUUUGUUGAUGUUGUUGUUGUUUAAGGUCUAGGCCAUAGAUCAUGGGGCUGUCAGCAAAGAGAUAAUCUUGAUGACUAAACUGAAGCCCACAGAAGAAGAGAAGUAUCCAACUUCUAUCGCAAUGCACACUUAGGGAGGCCUUGGUUAGUGAACGACAACUUAAAAGGAUUAGGGGAUAAACUGGCUUUUUAACGUAAGGUUAUUUGUUAAUUUCAAAGUGGUGUCAUCUUGGCAUUGUUAUCAGAACUUCUUGGUUGCUGUGUGGGUGUCAUAACAUCUGUAUAUUCCCUUGUUUGUUUUUUAACUUUCAGCAAAUUAAUAGCUGCAUAGUUGUUUUAUCUGAGCAGCACUCACAGACCUGGGAAUUGAAGGAAAUGUCUAAAAUAUACAUAGUGUCUCAAGCUGUUUAUAGUUUGUGACACUGCUUUAUUGAGCAAUAUGGACAGCGGCUAGUUUUUGAUUUUGCCACAGCUACCAUUCGAUCCACAAGAGGCCACAUGGCACCAGCAAAUCCCAGCUACCUAGGAUUCAUGGAAGACCUGUUGGUUGGUUGGUUAGUUGUAUGGGGUGUGUGUGUGUGUGUGUGUGUGUGUGUGUGUGUGUGUGUUGGUAGUUGUUUAGCUACCCAUGAUAGCCUUUAGCCAUGGUGUUGGAUGUAAGUGGAAACACAAUUAAGAACACACACAAAAACCACCCUGGUCUCUAGGCUCUACCACCUCCCUAGCCCCAGCUUCCAGGGUCAAAUUCAAAAGACAGAAUGUCUUUUAAGCAUUCUGUUUGAUAAGACAUUUUGGUGUUCAGACACAGACCUAUCAGUGCCAAUGGGAUUGCUACAAGUAUGUACAUCAUCCAGCUUGAGUAGAUUUGCAACUGGAACGUGUUGCUCAAAUGCCACUGUAGACGUGGAAAAGGGAAAGUUGGAAUGUGCUGAAACCCUAUCAAACACCCAUGCCCUAAUUAUUUUUUUUAAAAAGUGUACAAGAGAAUACCAUAGAAAUAAAAUAAAAUUAAGACUCUCUGAAUCUUAACGUAAGGCUAUUUCUGUUUUCACAGGAUUCAAAAGAAUACGGAAUAUUGGCAAGGGGAGAGAAUAUGUAGUUCUCAACAGGGCUAAAAUGGGAACAAAGUUCAGGAAGAUGAAAUUACUGUAAUCUGUUCCUAAAAUUUGCUUGCCAAAUAAGCAUUUGCAACCUUAAUGGUAAAAACAGUUAAAAACAGCCUAAUUAAGCAACCCUUAGUUACAGGUAAUCCAUGUGAAGUGCAAUGCCAUGAAUGUCUACUCAGAAACAAGCCUGGUUGACUUCAGUGGGACUUACUCCCAGGGAGUGUGUAUAUAUAGGUUUGCAGUGUAAUGCUUGCUGCUGCAUUAACUGUUUUCCAGCUUAACAUAUUUUAUACACAGCC
rnacentral:lncRNA from 1 species